ensembl:lncRNA
AGGAGACUGUAUUUCAAAAUAAGUCUACUUAUUAGAAUGUCAAAAUCUAAGAGAUUAUGGCAAGAAUUUAGGUUUCUUUAAAGCUGCGAGCCUUUAGAUAGGAGAAUUGGAAUCCUGGAAUCCCGGAGCCUUUGACCUUCAAACCACAAACUUUCCAAAAGAGUUUAAAGAUUGUCCCGAGCAGGAGAGAGUCACACAGAAACACAGGGAUCGCCAUCAAAGACCACCAAAGUCUCUGACUCUCCCCUGCCUGCUGGGUGGGAAUUUCCACCGUCUCGGUUCCUUUCAGCGCGUCCUGGAAGCUGAGGAAGUUCUCGUGUGGACAUCGCCCGCUGGUCCUUCGCUACUUGGUGGUGGCCACUAUUUUGAUCCCAUCCUUCUCAAGCUUCUCAUGUGAAUCUUCUUUCCCGACGAAAGCUGGGCAACCAAAGGCUGUCCAGGUGCAGGCCCACUGAAGGCCCUCCACGCUGCUGGUGCAGCUGUGCGUCUGGCCACGCCUGGGUCAGCACCUCCACCCGUCCUGAGCCCGUCUCCCACUCUGUCUACAGACAUAGUCCACACCGUUCCUCUCGUCUGCCUGUGGCCUAAAGGCUCGCAAACAAAACCAGAGCACACACCUGGACCCCGUUAGCAAUCUGCUCAGGAUCCAAGUAAACAGGAAUUUCUGAGUCUCAGGCUUUCUAUCCCCGCUUCACAUAUUCCGCUUGCUUCCUCAUCAGCAGGACGUAAGAAGCUCCCCCUUGGCUUCAGGCACCCCAGGUUGUGUCCCAGGCUUGCCCUCAUUUUCCAUCCUCCCGGGAAGAAAUCAGUUUUACAGACCAGGUCGUCUGGUCUCCAGCUUUCACUGGAUCAUGUUCAUCUGGCAUGAUGCACAUGGAGCCUCAUUCAAGAAGGACCUUCACUCUUUUAUUUGGAAACUAGGUGCUAACUGCCUGCAGCAAAAAUUCCUUUUCAAUUGGUGCACGCCGUCGUCUAUAACUCUCCUGGGGAAACUCAGUGAGUGCUUGUUCCGUGCUUUGGCUCAGUUGAUGUGCUGGAUAGCAGAUACAAGACACCUGUGUUGUUAAAACAAGCACCUGCCUGUUGUAGCUUACAAACCCGCAAGCUCAAAGAUUCUGUCCUUUAGGUUUUAAGAAAUGAAUUCAUCAGUUCAGCCAUCAGUUGGCAUCAGCUCCAGGCAGCAUUUGAUUUUUGGAGCAAAGCAGCCUGAGCAUCUGCCUUGGCCCAGAGCAGAAGCUGGGACAGGACAACAGGGAGGUGGGGAAGCUGGCUUCCUCCGCAGAGAGCCAAUCAGCUGAGCGGAUCCGUGAGGCCCGUCACAGUGAGGCCUUAGAAAACAAACAUCAGAGAGAAGCUGAGGAAAAGUGGGCCCCAAACCAGUUCUGUCACCAACAAGCUGGUUGACCUGGGGGGAGAAACCUCUCUGAUCCUGUGUUUACUCAUCUGCACAAUGAGGGCAUCAGAUGAAAUGGGUGGCUCUUAGGUCAUGCUACCCUCGCUGGGGGUGGGGCGCUGGACUAGCCUAGGUGCUGCGGGCUUGCUCAGCUGUUACUAGCCAUUAACAAAGUGCCUGACAAGUACAGCUGGAAAGCAAAUAGGGUUUAUGUUUAUCAGUUAGGUCUCUGUUGAUUGAUAGAUGGUCCAGCGGGCUAGGUUCACCUGUUGUUCCUUCAUUCAUUCAACAGCAGAGCGCACAGUGUGUGCUGGGCCCAUGCUGGGACCACACACUGCCUGUGCCCUCAAAGAUGGCUUCCACUUCACCAGUUAGAGCAAUCCAUGGGUUACAGGAGGAGGCACGAUGCCUUUCUCCUCAGACACGAAUCCCCAUGCAGAAUCUGACAUGCCUCUCCCGGUCCGGAGAUGGAGAGCCCUACCUUUCAACUCCUUACCACCCGUUCCCACCGGCUGGAUAUUCUCCAGGCCAUUGUCAGAGGCGUUGCCAGAGGCCCCCAACCCCAGCUGGUUUCUGAGCAGAGGGAUCUGGUCUGUUUGCCUUGUGAUUCCUGUAGAUGGAGCCAAACCCCCUGGCUGAGGGGCUGUGGGCCUCCACCCGGCCAAAAGCGGUGCCUUCUCUCUCCUCUCCCUCUCUCCCCAUCCUUCUCGCCCCUUCGCUCUCUCCCCUUCUCUCAGGCAGGCUCCUUCAGCAUCCAACCAACCGAGUGCGUCUGAGGCGAAAUCGUGCCAGACUUGGAGACGGCUGCCAGGUUUCUCUCCAGUCUUGGCUUAACAAAGGAAAGCAAAUUACAAAAAUGGAAAUUUUCAAACCAGCGUGCAGUGGUAUUCAAAUCGACACUCGGGUGGCACGCAGGCACAGACUACGUUCGUGCUAUUUUGUGAUUAAAAUGAUACUGAAAAUACCCCCCUGCUUCGGUUUUCCUCCUCGGCAAUGAGCUGAUUCUUUCCGUCUUCGCAUCUCCCUUCCUGGGGGGGCAGCAAACCCCUGGCCGCUCUGGAAGCCUGCCAUGGAAUCGGCGUCGUGGAAAUCUGCGUCUGCCGACUUCCCCAAAGAGCUGAACUUUAAAAAUGCCUGGAGAAACACAGAUAAAGGGGUUUCUGGGCACUUUCCCAGGAAGUUCUGUGUGAGGGACCGUGCGUCCUGUGACGGUUCAUACGGACGCAGGGGAAAACCCGGAUGGGUGCCUCUAGAAACGCAGGUGGCCCUGUGCUCCCCUUGGCCUGAACCAUGUGCUCUGUCUCAUCCGUUUAAGACUGGUGUUAAUGUGGUCGUUGAGCUGGGUCUUGAAUGAUUUUACUUAACGUGAAGUUAAAAACAGAAAGCCUGACCACGUCCUCCUUGCUAAUUUUCGCAGUUGCUGGACGGGCCCUGCCUCAGCGGUUUGCAAGAAGGGCCCUCCCCUAGUUUCUCCCCCGUCCUCCGCCCCUGCAAACAGCACCAUUUCUUUCCUUGGAAGCUUUGACUGUCUUCUUACACAGCUGUGUUUGCGGGGCCUGGAGACAGGUGGGGAGCAUUCUCCAGGCCCAAGCUGCCAAUUCUCUCUCUGAGGACUGUCGGAAUAGCUGUUAAAAUUUAAAGAUCGCACAUGCACACACACUUUUUCUGGGGA